CUUUUUUAGGAUAAACCGACUACUUUAAGCGGAAAAAGUCCGAGGCAUGUGCAAAAGGUUGCAAAGCUCGCUAAGAAACUCUUCCACGGCCUAAAGGUACUUACAGGAACUUAUCGUAAAUACUUAUACUCUGGCACAUCUACUCUAUGAGUAGAUAAAGGCGAUAAAUUCAAAAAAAUAUAGGCUUCUUGUUCUUUUCGUGUCGAGGUUCCUUUUUUUAUACGAUGGAAGCCCAAUAGGCAGCGGUGUUGACCGCGUCCCUCAGAUCCAGAAGGCCUACCGCGAACCACGUUCGACGUGUUGCCUCUCUGUCGCACUUGUAAAUUCGUACGUAAG